rnacentral:misc_RNA from 1 species
UUUCCGUUGGUGAACCAGCGGAGGGAUCAUUACCGAAGUUACCUUCAAAACCCACUGUGAACCUUACCUCUUGCCGCGUUGUCUCGGCGGGAGGCGGUGUGCGUCGCGCGCCCUAGCGGGCCGUGCCGCUCCCGUCCCCGCCGGCAGCGCCAAACUCUAAAUGCACAGCGGACUGUACGUUCUGAUUUACAAAAAAAACAAGUUAAAACUUUCAACAACGGAUCUCUUGGUUCUG